GUUAGGAAUAUUGGACAAUGGGCGCAAGCCUGAUCCAGCCAUGCCGCGUGAACGAUGAAGGCCUUCGGGUUGUAAAGUUCUUUAGCCGAUGAUUAUAAUGACUGUAGUCGGAAAAUAAGCCCCGGCUAACUUCGUGCCAGCAGCCGCGGUAAUACGAAGGGGGCGAGCGUUAUUCGGAAUCACUGGGCGUAAAGCGUGCGUAGGCGGUUUUGUAAGUUAGGAGUGAAAGCCCAGGGCUCAACCUUGGAAUUGCUCUUAAAACUGCAAGGCUCGAAUCUCGGAGAGGAUAGCGGAAUUUCCAGUGUAGCAGUGAAAUGCGUAGAUAUUGGAAGGAACACCAGUGGCGUAAGCGGCUAUCUGGACGAGUAUUGACGCUGAGGCACGAAAGCGUGGGGAUCAAACAGGAUUAGAAACCCUUGUAGUCC
rnacentral:rRNA from 1 species